rnacentral:rRNA from 1 species
AUUGAACGCUGGCGGCAGGCUUAACACAUGCAAGUCGAGCGGAGAUGAGGUGCUUGCACCUUAUCUUAGCGGCGGACGGGUGAGUAAUGCUUAGGAAUCUGCCUAUUAGUGGGGGGCAACAUUCCGAAAGGAAUGCUAAUACCGCAUACGUCCUACGGGAGAAAGCAGGGGAUCUUCGGACCUUGCGCUAAUAGAUGAGCCUAAGUCGGAUUAGCUAGUUGGUGGGGUAAAGGCCUACCAAGGCGACGAUCUGUAGCGGGUCUGAGAGGAUGAUCCGCCACACUGGGACUGAGACACGGCCCAGACUCCUACGGGAGGCAGCAGUGGGGAAUAUUGGACAAUGGGGGGAACCCUGAUCCAGCCAUGCCGCGUGUGUGAAGAAGGCCUUAUGGUUGUAAAGCACUUUAAGCGAGGAGUAGGCUCUUCUGGUUAAUACCCAGGAUGAGUGGACGUUACUCGCAGAAUAAGCACCGGCUAACUCUGUGCCAGCCGCCGCUGUAACAC